rnacentral:misc_RNA from 1 species
AACGCAAGUUGCGCCCAAAGCCUUCGGGCCGAGGGCACGUCUGCCUGGGUGUCACGCAACGUCGCUCCCCCAAUCCCCUGCUCUGGGGCUCUUGAAUGCGGAGCGGAGAAUGGCCUCCCGUGAGCUUAUCGUCUGCGGCUGGCCCAAAAAUGAGUCCAAGUCGGCGGGUGCCGCGGCAUUCGGUGGUUGAAAAUACCCUUACGAUGCCGCUCUCAUUCGGCCGAUCCAACAGGGAUCUCAACGACCCUCUUUGUAUCCGACGCGACCCCAGGUCAGGCGGGAUUACCCGCUGAGUUUAA